rnacentral:rRNA from 1 species
UACGUAGGGGGCAAGCGUUGUCCGGAUUUAUUGGGCGUAAAGAGCGUGUAGGCGGCUAGAUAGGUCCGUUGUGAAAACUCGAGGCUCAACCUCGAGACGUCGAUGGAAACCAUCUGGCUAGAGUCCGGAAGAGGAGAGUGGAAUUCCUGGUGUAGCGGUGAAAUGCGCAGAUAUCAGGAAGAACACCGGUGGCGAAGGCGGCAUCCUGGACCGAACACUGACGCUGAGGAGCGAAAGCCAGGGGAGGCAAACGGG